CGUGGGCCGUCACAUCCGCAUCCCCACAUUCUCUUCUCCGUCUUCCUCUUCCAGGGUCGGCGGCUGGACCCUCGCCGUGGCCUCCUCCGUCGCGGCCUCGAUCGAAACCGAAAAGAUCGCCCAGUACCAGCCAAGAGGAAGGACAAAGCUGUCACCAGUGUCGUAUUUUCCUGCUCGUCGUCGGUCUCGGAUUCGAGGCGUGCUUCUGUCUCUGCAGGUCUUGUGCUUCGAUUUGAUUUCUUGCAUUAGGAAGUGAAGAUUGUUAUGCAAGUGUCUGAACUUUUCUGAAGGUUCUGAUCCAAGGGGUGAAAAUUGGGUGACGAGGUGCCCUGUCUGACCGAGUUUUAUACCAUGAACUAUACUGUCCUCUCCACCAGCAAACAAUAUGAGUUAUGAGAAAACUACCCGAGCUUCCAACCAAAUGCACGUCGACAUAUAGCUGAAAACAAUUUCCAUUCUUCCUGGGGCGCAAGUGCUUGCCUGGCAAUCAGGAGACGCAUACAGAUUGGAUCACACAUUCUUAAUCUGCAUAAAGUUCUGCUUCAAGUAACAGACAGGCACUAGUCCAAGAGCUAAUCAGCUGAUUUGAAGCAAACGGAUGCCUACACUACAGGUGAUUAUAGCAUGACACACACCAGUUCAUCUUUGAGUCGCGGAACCCAAUCGACAUCGAAAAGAUCGCCCAGUACCAACGAGGAGGAAGGACAAGCCGUCCGUGUUGUGUUUUGCUGCUCGUCGCAGUUUACGGAUUUGAGGUCUUAUGAUUACACAGUUACACAUUUCAAGUGAAGAGCCGCGAUUGCUGCAUGCGUCCGCACAUUUCAAGUGGAUUGUAGAUGGACACAUCCUAUUCUACGGGAGCAGAGGAACUUCUCAGCAUACUGGCUUCUUCACCAGCAAACAGCGGGCGAAACUAUGCGAGCUACCAAACAAAUACACGCCAACAUACAGCUGAAAACAAUGUCGAUUCUUCGCUAAUGCUUGCCUGGCAAUCAGGAGAUGCAGACAGAUUGUGGAUCACACAUUCUUAAUCUGCAUAAGGUUCUGCUUCAAGUACAUCGUCAGCCAUUACUGCAUGAGGUACUCAACUAGUUUGAAGCAACGGAUGCUGUACAUUACAGGGACUUGGUCACCAUUGAACUCGAGCUCCUUCAAUCUUGGAGGUUUGUCGAUGCCAGAGAGAGAUGUGGAAGAUGACCAGACAAUCUUCUCGAGCCUAGGAGCAGACCCGCUGUUGAAGACAAUUUUGGUGAUGGCCGAGCAGUCAACAACAAGGAGGUUGAGCCAUAAGAACUCAUCUUUUUCUAAUGUAAUCUCAUUCUGUGUUCCACCAAAAGACUCGUCCAAGAGCACAAGACAGCGUAUAUUUGGUUUCUUGGUGAGCAGUUGUAGAGCAUCUUGCUCUAGCAAUGUACCACAAAGAGUCAGCUUGGCUAUCUGUUUGGCAUUGUCAAAUGAUGAUAACAAACUGCCACAGAAGCUGUUGUUCAUCUCGAGCUCUUUAAAUUUUGGAAGAAAGUCAACUCCAGAAAUAGAACCUAUGCCGGUGAAAGACAAAACCAUCUUCUCGAGCUCUUUGGCUGCUCCAUGCUCAAAAGUGAUAUUAGUCAAGGCCGAGCCCUCAACAAGAAGGUACUUGAGGCAUCUGAAUUCAUCCUUCUUGAAGUUCAACAUAGACUCGGUGCAUGCAAUGUGUUGGAGCCUUAUGCACCGUAACUUGGGCAGCUUGGCAAGGACUUUCAGAUCAUCUUGGCUCAGCAGAGUGUGACAUAGGGUUACCUUGGCAAGUUCGUUUUUAUCACCUUUUAUGAACAAUGGAAGAAGACGCCCCUUCUGUGUGGUUCCCCUGAUGCUUAGACUCUCAAGAAUCUUGGGAUGGUUUUCUAAGAGAGAGCCUAUGCCAUCUGGUAACUCUGCACUGUAAGGAGUACCCUCCCAUUCCCAUGGUGUGGCUAUAGGAAUAGCAGUGAUUGACAGAGAACGGAGGCACUCAUGUAGGUCACUGAUCGUCUCAAGCAAAUUCUUGAGGUGACUAUCCUUAUCAUCGAUGACCACUCCUAGCUUCCUCAGCUGCCGUAGCUUUCCAAUAUCUUUUAAAUCAUGACUCUGAUGUGCCUUGACAUUGAAUAAUACCUCAAUGUUUACCAUUUUGCCGAUCCUAUGAGGAAUCCAGGGAGUAGAUCCAAAAUUUCUUGGAUCACUGGCAAGCAGACGCUUCAGCUUCAGUAGCAGGAUAGAUGCUGUUGCAUAUGGAGGCACCAUAGUUUCUCGGAUAUCCAGUACCUCUAGCUCACGGAGGUUGCAGAUUUCAAUGGGUAGCUUUCUAAUAUCUGUUCUCCUCAGGCUCAGAUACUUGAGCAGUAACAUCUUGUAGCAGAUGUCCUUGAGGUACCGCUGGUUCUUCCCAAUAAAGCAUCGGCAUCCUUCUAGAUCUAGCACUUUGAGUAGGGAUACUUUAGAUGAAGAGAGCUGCUGGAAAUAUUUAUCAAUUCCAUCAUAGCUGCGGAGUUGGAGAUUGUUGAAAAUGGAAAAGUGGCGAGCCAAGUGAUGUGACAGGCCUGUCUCCACGAUGUGUUGUUUCUUGGCGAUUGUGGUAAUGAAUCCAUGAACUGGAUCACCUACGACGCAACUCUUUACAUUUCCCGUGGUAUCAAUAUCAGCAGGAUAAACAAGGCACCGGCCGACGAGUGCAUCAAAACAUCGGUUGGCCUGACGCACAGAACUGGGCCAAUCUUCCUUGGAUAUCAGCCCUUCUACAACCCACCGUGUAAUCAAGGUUGACUGCCUGAUCUUGUGUCUGGGCGGGAAGAUUGCUAGGUACAGCAAGCAUGACUUGUAUUCUUUAGGCAGAUCUUUGUAAGAGAACUUGAACAUCACCUUAGCGAUGUUGUUGAAUGAUGUUGUUGGCAAAGCCCGGAGGGUGCUGUGCAGCUUGACUAAUUCCUCAUCUCUCCUCUUGGGAUUAGCAUACAAAGCAUGAAUGAAGAUCUUCAUGCAUAAUUCAUGUGGCUCACACUCGUACAGGAUAUCAUGGAAAAUUUGGGGGUCGUAGCUGUCUCCAUUCUUCUGCUGGCCAGUAAGCUCAAGCAAUGCAUCAUGGUAGGGGCCAGCAAGAGAAUAGUCUAUAGGUUCCCGCUGUGGAUAGCAAUAUUGUUUAGCCAGCUGUAUGUCCUUUGUGGCGGUGACGAUCAUCAAAUCAGCUCUGCAGUUUAACAAGCUUAAAGCAUUUCUGGUAUCCUCCCAUGUGGAAACAUCCAUCAACUCAUCAACUUUGAGGAUAAACAGGGGACGUUCAUAAUUAUCCAGGUCCGGAAGAUAAUUCAAGUUGUGUUUAAUCUCGUCUACGAGACCUUUGAUCUUGAGCUGCUCUUCGAACUCGGGCUUCAUUUUGUGCAUCAUAUGAUCCACGAAACAGAGGGCAAGAGCGGUGUUGAUGAGGCGGAUGCCAGAGCAGCACUGGUUGGACUAAAUGCUCUGGCAAAAGUGUACAGACGGCCAGACGGCCAGUCACUUUGGAGAUGGACUGCGCCGUGAUUACAAAGGAGUUGCAAAUUGGGAUACCCACCAGAUCCCCAUGCUAUGGUCUGAUCUCGGGCAUUAAAGUUGUACUCGUUGUCUU